UCGUCACACUAUCAUUAACUGAAUCCAUAGGUUAAUGAGGCGAACCGGGGGAACUGAAACAUCUAAGUACCCCGAGGAAAAGAAAUCAACCGAGAUUCCCCCAGUAGCGGCGAGCGAACGGGGAGGAGCCCAGAGCCUGAAUCAGCAUGUGUGUUAGUGGAAGCGUCUGGAAAGUCGCGCGAUACAGGGUGACAGCCCCGUACACAAAAGCGCAUGUGUUGUGAGCUCGAUGAGUAGGGCGGGACACGUGGUAUCCUGUCUGAAUAUGGGGGGACCAUCCUCCAAGGCUAAAUACUCCUGACUGACCGAUAGUGAACCAGUACCGUGAGGGAAAGGCGAAAAGAACCCCGGCGAGGGGAGUGAAAAAGAACCUGAAACCGUGUACGUACAAGCAGUGGGAGCACCCUUCGGGGUGUGACUGCGUACCUUUUGUAUAAUGGGUCAGCGACUUAUAUUCUGUAGCAAGGUUAACCGAAUAGGGGAGCCGGAGGGAAACCGAGUCUUAAUUGGGCGUUAAGUUGCAGGGUAUAGACCCGAAACCCGGUGAUCUAGCCAUGGGCAGGUUGAAGGUUGGGUAACACUAACUGGAGGACCGAACCGACUAAUGUUGAAAAAUUAGCGGAUGACCUGUGGCUGGGGGUGAAAGGCCAAUCAAACCGGGAGAUAGCUGGUUCUCCCCGAAAGCUAUUUAGGUAGCGCCUCGUGAAUUCAUCUCCGGGGGUAGAGCACUGUUUCGGCUAGGGGGCCAUCCCGGCUUACCAACCCGAUGCAAACUGCGAAUACCGGAGAAUGUUAUCACGGGAGACACACGGCGGGUGCUAACGUCCGUCGUGAAGAGGGAAACAACCCAGACCGCCAGCUAAGGUCCCAAAGUCAUGGUUAAGUGGGAAACGAUGUGGGAAGGCCCAGACAGCCAGGAUGUUGGCUUAGAAGCAGCCAUCAUUUAAAGAAAGCGUAAUAGCUCACUGGUCGAGUCGGCCUGCGCGGAAGAUGUAACGGGGCUAAACCAUGCACCGAAGCUGCGGCAGCGACACUGUGUGUUGUUGGGUAGGGGAGCGUUCUGUAAGCCUGUGAAGGUGUGUCGUGAGGCAUGCUGGAGGUAUCAGAAGUGCGAAUGCUGACAUAAGUAACGAUAAAGCGGGUGAAAAGCCCGCUCGCCGGAAGACCAAGGGUUCCUGUCCAACGUUAAUCGGGGCAGGGUGAGUCGACCCCUAAGGCGAGGCCGAAAGGCGUAGUCGAUGGGAAACGGGUUAAUAUUCCCGUACUUGGUGUUACUGCGAAGGGGGGACGGAGAAGGCUAUGUUGGCCGGGCGACGGUUGUCCCGGUUUAAGCGUGUAGGUGUGUGUUCCAGGUAAAUCCGGUUCACUUUAACACUGAGGCGUGACGACGAGGCACUACGGUGCUGAAGCAACAAAUGCCCUGCUUCCAGGAAAAGCCUCUAAGCAUCAGGUAACAUCAAAUCGUACCCCAAACCGACACAGGUGGUCAGGUAGAGAAUACCAAGGCGCUUGAGAGAACUCGGGUGAAGGAACUAGGCAAAAUGGUGCCGUAACUUCGGGAGAAGGCACGCUGACACGUAGGUGAAGUGAUUUACUCAUGGAGCUGAAGUCAGUCGAAGAUACCAGCUGGCUGCAACUGUUUAUUAAAAACACAGCACUGUGCAAACACGAAAGUGGACGUAUACGGUGUGACGCCUGCCCGGUGCCGGAAGGUUAAUUGAUGGGGUCAGCGCAAGCGAAGCUCCUGAUCGAAGCCCCGGUAAACGGCGGCCGUAACUAUAACGGUCCUAAGGUAGCGAAAUUCCUUGUCGGGUAAGUUCCGACCUGCACGAAUGGCGUAAUGAUGGCCAGGCUGUCUCCACCCGAGACUCAGUGAAAUUGAACUCGCUGUGAAGAUGCAGUGUACCCGCGGCAAGACGGAAAGACCCCGUGAACCUUUACUAUAGCUUGACACUGAACAUUGAGCCUUGAUGUGUAGGAUAGGUGGGAGGCUUUGAAGCGUGGACGCCAGUCUGCGUGGAGCCGACCUUGAAAUACCACCCUUUAAUGUUUGAUGUUCUAACGUGGACCCGUGAUCCGGGUUGCGGACAGUGUCUGGUGGGUAGUUUGACUGGGGCGGUCUCCUCCUAAAGAGUAACGGAGGAGCACGAAGGUUGGCUAAUCCUGGUCGGACAUCAGGAGGUUAGUGCAAUGGCAUAAGCCAGCUUGACUGCGAGCGUGACGGCGCGAGCAGGUGCGAAAGCAGGUCAUAGUGAUCCGGUGGUUCUGAAUGGAAGGGCCAUCGCUCAACGGAUAAAAGGUACUCCGGGGAUAACAGGCUGAUACCGCCCAAGAGUUCAUAUCGACGGCGGUGUUUGGCACCUCGAUGUCGGCUCAUCACAUCCUGGGGCUGAAGUAGGUCCCAAGGGUAUGGCUGUUCGCCAUUUAAAGUGGUACGCGAGCUGGGUUUAGAACGUCGUGAGACAGUUCGGUCCCUAUCUGCCGUGGGCGCUGGAGAACUGAGGGGGGCUGCUCCUAGUACGAGAGGACCGGAGUGGACGCAUCACUGGUGUUCGGGUUGUCAUGCC
rnacentral:rRNA from 1 species